rnacentral:sRNA from 1 species
GAUUCUGCCCUACGGGGAAGGAUGAGAAGCUUCGACUAAGGUUCGACUCGAGCGCCAGCGAGAGAACGUUGCCAAGGGCAACGGCCCGAAGGGCGAGGAGCGAUAGCGUCGAGUUAUCCUUCCCCCACCACCA